CUUCCUUCACUUGCGUGCAGAGGUGUAUAUGUAAGCAGGAAGCGGAAUCGGCUUUUUUCAGCCCCGUUCUCGCUCACGGCAUCGUUUGGCCUGCCCCUGCUCUGUCCUUCGCUGAUAUUCCUGGGACCGUCUUCUGACCCGUGACACCAGCUUCCUUCAUCACAGCUUAUCUUGCUGUUUGGUGUUUACUCCUGCCUCCUCCUGAGUCCGGCCUGCUGCCUUGCUUACCUUGCCGUCUGGCGGGAUACUGGCAACUCCAUCCCUCCUCUCGCUGUACGAUUCUUGAUGCGAUCCUUCGUCGAUAUUGGGGUGUGGUUGGGGUGAGAAGGAGAUCCGGAGCUGAUUUUCAGCAUGUGGUGUCGAACCUGGUCUCCGGAUGGUCAAUGUGAUUCUGCGGUCCGGGGUCGAUGUAGAGCGUCAGACUGGCUCGAGUGCAAAGCACAUGCGAUGGAUGCUAGCAUUUACGCUUCCUUGUAAUUUUUUUAGCGUCAAGGUGGACGGUAAUGUGCCGAAGCCGUAACGGAAAAACACCUCCAAUCUAGAAAUUAUGGAAUAAGUCGUGCCUUCUCCACUUCUUGCAGUUCUCGGCUUUCCUCGCCAGGCCCAGGCAGCUUGGAGUGGUUCGUGAACCCCUGGCCGAGAAUCUCAAAUAAACACCAAGUAGUGUGUUCUUGCCGAACGCGUGGUUGCUGUCAGUCAUUUGGUGAACAUUUCUCUUUGCUUCACUCUGAAGUCUCAUGAAUUGCAGUUUAGUAGAAAGAGACAAGCAGCUUGUUCACUUUCCUCAGGCUUUUGACAACGGUGACCGAGUGUGCUUGCGGUUCUAACUUUCACUAGCGCCGGUAGCUGCUGAGCAUCAAAGGAUUAUCAGCUAGCCCAGCGCCGUCGAUACCUGCUUCAUUCUUUAUCGCUUCUCCUUUUCUGCCGUCACAACUGAACGAUUAUUGCGAGUAGAAUUUGACUACAGUUUUUCCUUCUAUGCAACUUGCCUUCCCAUGUUAUUUGGCUAAUUCUUGGGCUAUUUCUCUUGCGAUCUUGUCUGUAGUGCAGGUAUUAUUGCGACGAGUUCAGUAUUCUUGUGACGGUUUCCAUGUUACCUCAUGUGAUCUGCUUGGUCAUCUCAUCGUGGCUAGCUUCUCCACAAUUUCUCACCCUCGUUGGGAUCAGAAGAGAGAGAGCACAGCCCGAUGUCCAAUGUUCAGGUCGAAUGGGCUGUGCUCUCUCUCUUCUUGCUCCAACUUGGGUGCUACACGCAUCUAGGGUACCCGAAAUACUGCUGGUUCAAUUCAAGCCUUGGGCGGCGAGGCAAGGAACUCUAUUGUCACAAUAUGGUAUAACACUCCGGCUUAGAACAUCAAUUCAGCCGUACUACACCCAAGCCGGGAUUCGAAGAGAGAGAGCACAGCCCGUAACUUUCACUAAAGACCACUUAUUGUGGUUCAUUGGAGAUUUGAUGUCGGGCUGUGCUCUCUCUUUUCCAGUCCCUACUCGGAUGUGUCGCCAUCACGGAUGAUGAAAUAUGGCAACAGAUGACUAUUUUCUGAGUCAUAUUUCAACUUAGCAUUGAAGAUCGACGACCGGCUAGUUCCUCCUGAGACAAGUAACUUCGGGAGACUCUAUGUCGCAGCUGCCUCGCACAUCUAAAUAGUUGAAAAGACUUCGUCAGUCGUCCGCAUUAGCUGCGGUUUUAGUGACUGGAUAACGACAAUGAGCAUUCUGCCGUUUUGCGGAGCCCGUCUAACUAUGCCGUCCACGUACAACACUUUUGUUUUGCUCAAUACUCGUCUACCUUACACGACGAGACGCCGCCAGGUUUUUGAAGUAUAUUUUUGAUGCUGUGCAUUUCUUCUGUAGAAUGGCAACACAGGUGUUCAGAGAUCCUGAUUUCUCUGAUACACUUAAGUGCUACCCCAAGGGUCUUUUUGCGUGCAGAGACCGUGUUGUGCUCGUGAAAAGUAGAUUCAACGGUACUGGUAGAUGUCGCCCUCUCAACCAUACACACAUUAUGGACGUAGGUUUCCUUUCUAUGUGUUUGACUUCCAACCUACAGUGUAUUUCGCGAAGCGCUCUAACCUCCCUAGAGUAGGUACUUAUUCAUAGACAUCGAAACCAAGCUGAAUGUGCGAACUGUGCUGUGCAAUCGUUUGUGGUGGUGCUGACGCUCAAGCACACCAGUUGACGAACUUAAAAUGCUCUUGAUAGUAGUGCCUUUCUUGAGACCUAAUGUCUGUUGUAAUAAGCGUCUACAUGCAGUUUCUCAUUGUCCGACAUGUGCACCCUUAGAGUGACAAAUGUUGGGCUGAAAGGAUAAGUACUGUCUGUGGUGUGGAGCUUCACUGAUUAAGCUUGGCAAGUGCUUCUGUUGCCUCCAAUGAAGUUACUACUGGUGUGUCUGGCUCAAUAGGGUACAGCCUGUUGAGCCACUCUACUUUGCGUACAUGGCUUGAGUCUGUUCACAGACAAGUUUGUCUAGCACUUGAUACUUAAGAUGACUUAAUGUAAGGUAAGAACAAGAAGGUACGUCGAGAUCGAAAAUUGCAUUUGAUGCCAGUGUGAUGCAACUAUUAGUUUGAUGUGUUGAUUUUAUGUGACGAUACCAUAUGACAUCGAAAUAUUCAUGAUCAGUGGGUACAACUACUUGGCUGUGGUAAAACUUGCAGGAUGGAUCUUAUUUAGGCUAGAACCCUCCCAUGCAAUCCUGAGUGUUCACUGUACACAUUUGUGUUUGGAUUUUCCAUUGUACUGUAGUACAUCAGUUUUUAGGCUAAGGCUCGAUGCUGACCCCUUUAUCUUUUGUGGCACUCAUGCAGAAAAUGUUUGAACAGUCGUCAGACGACAGACUUGUUUUCUUCUCACAUAGCGCUUUGGAACUUAAGUCGUGUGGUGAAAGGUGUGCACAAGGAUACGUAGGUCAUUAACCACGUAAAUUUCUUCAGGCAGAAGCGUACGCUUACUUAGACUUAACGAGGUUUGUGUUUUCGUUUUAUCUCUAUGUUUCAUCAAGACUUCGAUGAUGCUAACAUCGAAUAUUAUUCUCGAUGGCAUGAACGUGUUACUCAAAUCGAGUCAUGCUUUAGUAUAGGAAUUGACUGUGUCCUCUUCAAAAUCGUUGUGAAUUUGGAGCCAGGACUCCCCAAGUAAUGAACAUGUUGCAGGCAGUGGCUUCUUGCCUGUAAUGUGGAGUGGAGGCCGCACAUCUCUUCAUCAGAAUGGGCUAGGAGCACCCUCAAUUUUACUGCAAUAUGGCUCAGGUUUCCAGCUGAGAAUACAAUGCAGCUUACAGUAUACAGCAGAAUUUGUGGUGUGGUACAGGAGUGUACACAGCGAGAAGUACUUAUGAAAAUGAAGGCUUCCCAGCAGAGUGAUACUUUUUUCUCCGCCAAAGCCAGACGAAUUCGUAAGUAACGGUACUAUUUAACGGUAUGUAUUUAACGGUACUAUUUAACGGUAUCUUCUUUAGCAAGCUCUUAAAAAAGUUCUAAAUUCUCAUGAAUAAUCUGGACUCUUCUAUUAUAAUCCUUGACCAUGUGAAGUCCAAGUUGAGGUUAGGACUGUCGGCGAUUGUCCUGAUCAUGCAUAAUUGCCAUGCAUGCGAAUCAUUGGUUGCUUCUACAGAUUUGUUGAAAAAGUUGAACUAUACUGAAGGUACCUUGAGUCCAAUAUCCACAUUAGACAAUGUCUAUAGCCCGUAAAUCUGUGAACAUGUGGCCUUUAUUUAGUAUGAUAUUCUGGAGGCCGUCGAAAUUGUUACUGCAACUUAGUUCUUUUCCUAGUAUGAUGUGCUUGGUUGUAAUUUAUCAGGAAUGCGAUUUCGCUAUUGGGUAGCGUCCGUGGCGAAAUAGUUCUGAAUGAGCAUGCAAAUUGAGCCUGUUCAAAGCAGUCAAGAUAAACGAAAGAUGCUGGGCAGAAGUAUAUUGUCCAACCAACUUAUCAGUUUCACUAGAAGACAGCUCAGUGUGAAUUGUGUUCUCGAAACGUAAGGUCUUGAGAAUUUGAUAAGAUAUAUAUUUCCCACACUGUCCAGCAUACAAUCAUAUUAUUAAAGAAUAGCUAGUAGUAGUAGCAGUACCACGACAUGAACUUGAAGAUGACUUUUUAAAGAGUUUUAUCCUUUUUGUGGCAGAUAAUAAUCUUUGUGACGUUUCUUGGUGGAGCUUGUCUCUUCUUAAAUUGAGGCAACUAUAAUAAUCUUGGACAAUAAGCCAUUGUCUUUCCGUAUUAUCCUGUUCCGGUUAUUGCAAUAUUGUCCAGCAUCACACCUUAUUCUCUUGGCGUGUCGAAGGUUAUUGGUUGACAUUCUCGUUGAUCGGGUUUGUAGGGCUUCCGUGUGAAGAAACCCUCUGACGUCCCUAGUGUCGUGUUUUAAUUCCCAUAUGCUACAUGCACUCAUCAUUUAACAAUUUUAAAUUUCGACUUUGAACUUGAUUCUUGCAGAUCACCAAGGUAUUUGAUUGGGUGUUUGCAACUGCUUGGACGAUUACCCCAGAUGUACGAGCUGUUAUAUUGAGUAUCCAGAACAAUGCAGUAUACAACUUUGGUAGGUUUGAGAUCGCACGGAGUGUAGUGAAUAUAAAGGUUAAUUUUGCUUUAUGAAUGAGUUCUCAGUAUAGAAAUAGCUGUACCGUGAUCGUAGCUCCGACGUUUGAGCCUUGUUUACCUCAUUAACGAGCGAAUGAUUUACUCAGGCAAUCCACUCGCCUCAAGAGACAGUGCAAUAGACGCACCGUUUUUUUUAUACAGACGAGAAUUAUCAUCUGGCUCUGCUCCUCAUUGCAUGGAAUUCUUGCAUGAGUGAUUGUGUGAUCCGCAGCGAACUUCUUUACCUCUGGAACCUAAGUUUGUCCAAGGUUCUGUACUCA